rnacentral:rRNA from 1 species
GACAGAGGAUGCAAGCGUUAUCCGGAAUGAUUGGGCGUAAAGCGUCUGUAGGUGGCUUUUUAAGUCUGCCGUCAAAUCCCAGGGCUUAACCCUGGACAGGCGGUGGAAACUACCAAGCUGGAGUACGGUAGGGGCAGAGGGAAUUUCCGGUGGAGCGGUGAAAUGCGUAGAGAUCGGAAAGAACACCGAUGGCGAAGGCACUCUGCUGGGCCGACACUGACACUGAAAGACGAAAGCCAGGGGAGCGAAUGGG